GGCGACGGGUGAGUAAUACUUAGGAAUCUGCCCAUUAGUGGGGGACAACAUUCGGAAACGGAUGCUAAUACCGCAUACGCCCUACGGGGGAAAGCGGGGGAUCUUCGGACCUCGCGCUAAUGGAUGAGCCUAAGUCGGAUUAGCUUGUUGGUGAGGUAAUGGCUCACCAAGGCGACGAUCCGUAGCUGGUCUGAGAGGACGAUCAGCCACACUGGGACUGAGACACGGCCCAG
rnacentral:rRNA from 1 species